CAAAAAUCGAUAUUCUAUUUAUCAUUUAAAAAAAAAAAAAAAAAAUAUUAUAAAAAUUAUCUGUGUAACGAUAGCGAUAAAUGCACUGCCACAACAGUAAAAGUAUAGUCGAUUCAUUCAGCGUGCAGCGUUUUAGCUCCCAUUUUUCCAUCUCUCGCGAGUAAAAAAG